UUAUGACAGAAUCAAUGUGUUAAAUUUAAAAUUUAAAUAUGAAAAUUUCUUUUAGUA
rnacentral:tRNA from 1 species